ensembl:lncRNA
UUAAACUUGUGAUUGUUUUCUCACAUGGUAGAGAUGAAGCUCAAGGUUCAUCUCAAGGCAGCGGGAUGACAAGGGGUGUAGAAGAUACAGGCUGCGUUUUGCUCUCCUCAAGAAACACAUGAAGAGGGCAGCCACUUUUAUCUGUCAAGACUGUUUUUGAAGGUUCAUGCUUGUGGCCUCUUUCAGACCCUCCAAUACCUUUCCCAUUUCCUACCCUGUUUCAUAGAAUCAUAGAAUAUCUUGCAUUGGAAGGGACUCACAAGGAUCACUGAGUGCAAACCCUGGCUCCACACAGCACCACCCAAACCGUAUGUCUGAGAGUGAUGUCCCAAUACUUCCUGAGCUCCAGCAGCUUGGGGCUGUGUCUGCUCAUUGGGCUGACUGUUCUGUGCCCUCUGGGGCAAAAUCUUUCGUGUGCCAUUACCUCAGACCCUGCUGCUGUCACAGAGAGCAGAACUGAGUGCUGCCCCUCUGUGUCAUGUGAGGAGCUGCAGGCCACAAUGAGGCCUACGCUCAGCCUGCUCUGCUCUGGGCCCAACAGACUCAGUGGCCUCAGCUGCUCUUUUCCAUCCUUGUAGCCCUCUGUAGCCCACUUUGAUCUUGGAUGUAAAGCACAGGAGAGCUGUGAUGCUAUAGCCCACGGGUUUUACUCCCAGUGCCAGGAUCUCCAGGGGGACAGACUGCUCACCCUUGGAACACUCUGUGUUAUCUCCCAGCUGAGAGAGCACUCCUUUGAGAUGUAAGGUUUAUCGGGAAAGAAAAAAAAAAUCAUUUUAAACAUUUAAAUGUUCUCAGACUGUGCAAUCCCUUGAGCACGUUGGAAGGAAAGUGUAAUUCCUCAGAUCUGCAGGGUGCCUCACUUCUAUUGCUCCCACUGCCCCAGUAGGGUUGGAGAGCUCGUGUAAGCCAGGAGGGACCACAGAAAUACCUGGUCUGUGUGAUCUUUGCAGAAAAAUCCUCUCCAGAGUGCCUUCCUAUAGGGUAUGGGAGGCUAAUGUUGACCCUCUGAGAAAACCAGGAUCUGCUUAGGUGUGCACUGAGUAGUUGGGUGAAGGGAGCGCCUUAAAAUGCAAACUGUAAUUCCUAGGGGAGCACAUCUCCUCUCCUUAGACAUAAAUCACUUUUUUUUCCUCUUUUUCUAUUUUUUUCUUUUUGCAUUAGUUGAAUGUAUAAUUUAUUUAAGUUAUCAAACAUGAGGACAAGACAUUUGUGACCCAUUCUAUCUCUACAAAUUUUGUGUGAAACCCGCUGAAGCCUGCAGUGGGUAAAUGGAUUCCCACAACUCUAUUUCCUAGCCCUUUCUUCCCUUCUAGCACCCUCUGAAAUAGCUUUCCUAUCCUUUGGUUUAUUAGAUUUGCCUGAACCUGGCUUUGUAACAUCAUUAUAAAAGUGACAAGACCUCUUCCUGGACAUUAUUGCAGGCUGAUGUGUUGCGUGCAGCUCACUGACUGCUCACAAAAAUACCUCUGUGUAUGAGAAGGAGAGGGAAUAGUGGCCAUUGUAUGGUAAAAGGCCAAGAGAAAAAUGGAACACUGCCCUCAUAGUGGUGUGUGACAAUAGAUCCAUUGUCCUUCAUUAUUAGAUCUCAAAUGCUCCUGUUGAAGGUGACUGGUCAGAAAAUGGAAUUUUCACUCUGCAGAAAACUUGCAAGUUUAGUUUUCAACCCAGCAUAAGUCAAAAUUAAAGACUAGCUGAAGUUUUGGAAAUGUUUUGUCCCUAAAAAAAUUGAAAUGGCUUUCUUGAAAUGCUUCAUAAUGGUAACUUGGAACAUUUUGCUCUUAUUUCUGCUGUCAUCAUAAUAGCUAAAAUUAUUCUAUUGAAACAAAAUGAUUGGAAUGUAUCACAAUGAAAUGUAAUUUCCCAGUGAAAGCACUAAUGGAAUUUGAUACUUUCCUGAAAAUCUGCCUGAUUUAAAUAAAAGUAAAAAAAUAAAAAAAAUUAUUGUUG